UAGAAGAUUUCUUCUGAAAAAGCAAAGGUAGGUAAAUGAACAACAUUUUUGACUUUAACGAUGAGCAGACAUUUUAAUUGAUUCAAUCUAAGUAAGUAGAGUUUGGUUUUUACAGCGAGUUCAUCGAGCGGGACGUUUAAAUUGACCAAGAAAAAAAAAUGCGAAAAAAUGUGUCCUGGAAUGGACGCUCGUUAGCAGUAAAGCACAAGAAACAUAGCCACGACGAAUACUAGUCACUUACAACGAGCCGAAGACCGGAGUGUUCUUGUCUACAUCUUUGACAAUCGAGUUCGUUUCCGGUCAUUAGUUUUUUUUUGCGUCUCCGGCAAUUUCCGGUCACCUUUCGCAGCUCGAUCCUUGCCCAGUAGUCGCAGCGUAUAAGUUCACUCGCCUGAUUCCAAAAUGCUCGCCCGAAUUAGUGUUGUUUUAAAUCGUACUGAAUGGGCUUGCGCUCAAUCACAGGUUCGUUGUUUCAAAAUGGCUGCCACUGGAUACCAGAACGGAACCGGUGGCACGGGGAAACCGCAGCUCUCCCAAUGGUUUAUUGAUAGAGAGUCAAAACAUGGUGCUCACAACUACCACCCGCUGCCUGUGGUCAUAAAUAAGGCAGAAGGUGAGUUACUCAUACUUUUCAACUGAUAAUUAUUUUUAAUGUCAACCUACUUUUUUCCAUGUAUUUUUAUGUUAAUUGCAGGAGGUUAAAGAUCGGUCGACGGGCGAGGCCUUCUUAGAGACCAAAUCGACCG
rnacentral:lncRNA from 1 species